rnacentral:rRNA from 1 species
UACAGAGGGGGCAAGCGUUGUUCGGAAUUACUGGGCGUAAAGGGCGCGUAGGCGGCCUUCUAAGUCGGACGUGAAAUCCCUCGGCUCAACCGAGGAACUGCGUCUGAUACUGGAAGGCUUGAAUCCGGGAGAGGGAUGUGGAAUUCCAGGUGUAGCGGUGAAAUGCGUAGAUAUCUGGAGGAGCACCAGUGGCGAAGGCGGCAUCCUGGACCGGCAUUGACGCUGAGGCGCGAAAGCUAGGGGAGCAAACGGG